rnacentral:tRNA from 1 species
GCCUCCUUAGCUUAGUGGUAAAGCAGCGGUUUUGUAAACCGCCGACAACAGUUCGAUUCUGUUAGGGGGCU